AAGCCGCAGAAUUCUGUGCUAAGGUAGCAUAAUCAUUUGUCUUUUAAUUAAAGACUAGAAUGAAAGGUCAAACGAAUAAAAAACUUAAAUAAUCUAAUAUAUCAAAAUUAAAUUUUUUGUUAAAAUACAAAAAUAAAUUAAAAAGACGACAAGACCCUGUUGAACUUAACUAAUGUUAUACUGGGGCAGUAUUAUAACAACAACUUUAAACUAAAAUUUAUAUAACUAUCUUUAAUAAAAUAAAUAAAGUUACCACAGGGAUAACAGCGCAAUUUAUUUUAAAAGCUCUUAUAAAAAAAUAAGAUUACGACCUCGAUGUUGAAUUAAUUAACCACACAAAUGCAAAAUUUUGCAAGUAAGUCUGUUCGACUUAAAAAAAUUACAUGAUCUG
rnacentral:rRNA from 1 species